rnacentral:rRNA from 1 species
GAGUAUUGGACAAUGGGGGCAACCCUGAUCCAGCAAUGCCGCGUGAGUGAUGAAGGCCUUAGGGUUGUAAAGCUCUUUCGGCGGGGAAGAUGAUGACGGUACCCGCAGAAGAAGCCCCGGCUAACUUCGUGCCAGCCGCCGCGGUAAUACGAAGGGGGCUAGCGUUGUUCGGAAUUACUGGGCGUAAAGGGCGCGUAGGCGGUCUUGUAAGUCAGGCGUGAAAGGCCCGGGCUCAACCUGGGGACUGCGCUCGAUACUGCGGGGCUUGAAUCCGGGAGAGGAUGGCGGAAUUCCCAGUGUAGAGGUGAAAUUCGUAGAUAUUGGGAAGAACACCGGUGGCGAAGGCGGCCAUCUGGCCCGUGAUUGACGCUGAGGCGCGAAAGCGUGGGGAGCAAACAGG